UCAGACGGCCGGGCGGUCGCGGCGGCGCAAGCCGUCGAGGAAAGUCCGGGCUCCACAACGACAUGGCGGCGGGUAACGCCCGCCGAGGGCGACCUCAGGGAUAGCGCCACAGAAAGCAAACCGCCCGGACCUCGGUCCGGGUAAGGGUGAAAGGGUGGGGUAAGAGCCCACCGCGGGCCUGGUGACAGGACCGGCAUGGCAAGCCCCGCCAGGAGCAAGACCGAAUAGGGACGCUGCGCCCAUCUCGCAUGGGCAGGACUGUCGUAGGUCCGAGGCGUCCGGGUAGGUCGCGAGAACCGUCCCGCGAGGGACGGUCCAGAGGAAUGAUCGCCGCGCCGGUUCGCCGGCGGCACAGAACCCGGCUUAUAGGCCGUCUGAUCCC
rnacentral:RNase_P_RNA from 1 species